AACGCGUGGGUAAUCUACCUCCGAAUCGGGGAUAACCCGCCGAAAGGCGAGCUAAUACCGGAUGAUAUCUUUGAAACACCGGUUUUUUAGAUCAAAGGUGGCCUCUACAUGUAAGCUACUGUUUGGAGAUGAGCCCGUGUACCAUUAGCUUGUUGGUAGGGUAAUGGCCUACCAAGGCUUCGAUGGUUGGCUGGUCUGAGAGGAUGAUCAGCCACACUGGAACUGACACACGGUCCAG
rnacentral:rRNA from 1 species